UGGGGAAUAUUGCACAAUGGGCGCAAGCCUGAUGCAGCCAUGCCGCGUGUGUGAAGAAGGCCUUCGGGUUGUAAAGCACUUUCAGCGGGGAGGAAGGCGUUAAGGAUAAUAACCUUGGCGAUUGACGUUACCCGCAGAAGAAGCACCGGCUAACUCCGUGCCAGCAGCCGCGGUAAUACGGAGGGUGCAAGCGUUAAUCGGAAUUACUGGGCGUAAAGCGCACGCAGGCGGUCUGUCAAGUCGGAUGUGAAAUCCCCGGGCUCAACCUGGGAACUGCAUUCGAAACUUGCAGGCGAGAGUCUUGUAGAGGGGGGUAGAAUUCCAGGUGUGGCGGUGAAAUGCGGAGAGGACUGGGGGAAUACCGGUGGCGGAGGCGGCCCCCUGGACAAAGACUGACGCUCAGGUGCGAAAGCGGGGGGAGCAAACAGG
rnacentral:rRNA from 1 species